AAACUGAGAAAAAUCUGUCAUUUUGAAAUUGAUGGAAGCAGUAUGUCUCGAAAAAGCUGGGUCAUUCCCAUGUUUGUGUGCAUCAUCCUCUCUUACAAUAUUAGACGUAGGAAUGCUGUUCUACAUCUAAUGUUGGAUCCUAGUGACUCAAGUCCUGGGUCUCCUUUGUUGUGAUGUCAUGAUGCGUCAGUUUUUUGUUUUGUUUUCCAGUUGGGAAAUUCAAGUUGGGAGUUCAAGACAUGAACUCCUCUGUGGUUUAGCAUCUGGUUGGAAGCUUAUGUUGCUCUAAAAUCUGCAUUAGUGCCAGUCUUUUUGCACUCCCUUUUUAACUGAACACUAACAGCAAGCCAGAUGGUUACUUUCCCCUUUAGUCUGGAGGAUGCCAUGUCCUUGUUUUCCAAAAAGAAAUUUUACAUUUCAAUUUAUUUGACCACUCAGUUUUCCACUUGGUCCCUUUUAAAUGAGCAUUGGCCAAGAGAAGUUGACAUGAUCUAAGCUUGCUUGACAGAGAUUUAACCUGUGUUUGUGGACGGCACACUGAUCUGUGUUUGCGCACAAUGAUUCCUAGAUGUGUUCCUGAGCACAUCCAAGGAUUUUCAUGACAAAUUCAUGCUUGCUUUUAAAGCAGUGCUCUGCGAGGGCCCAGAGAGCACAGUCGCCCCGUAUUGAUUUUUUGCCUUGUUGUGCACAGAUUUCCCAAGAGUAUCUGAAAGUUUUGAUGAUAUUAUGUAGCGCAGACGAUGAGUCAUCAAAGUCUUUGCAGUUUUGUGCUGAGGAACAUUAUUCGGAUAUUGUAACCCUACAUGUCUAAGCUUUUUAUUUUUACUCAGGUUACUGACCUGAUGUGAAUUAACCUAAUUAGUCCCUCCACCUGUUUCUUUUUAAUAAUCCUCACUUUUCCAGGUAUUUGUUGCUCCCAUCCCAGUUUUUUGAGACAUGUUGUUGCCACUAAAUUCCAAAUCUAUUUUCCAGGAAAUAGUAAAAUGUCACUUUUUAACAGUUGAUAUAUUUUCUGUGUUCUAUUAUGAAUAAGAUAUAGUUUUAUGAGAUUUGAGUAUUACUAUAUUCUAUUUUUACUUACACAAUGCAUAUUUGGCACAUCUUUUUUCAAACAUAAAAAAAAUGUGUCCAAUUUACUAUUUUGAAAAUUAAUUUGCACAGACAGCGCUUCCCUUCUCAUGCUUCCCCAACAGCAGACUCAGUAUAUCUUUCAGCUGCCUCUCCAGAGAACCUCUAAUUGUUACAUUGUUACAAUCUUAGAUUGACAUUAGUCUGCUCUGGAGACCAACAGAGAAAAUGCUGGAGAGACACCAUAAUACAAUAGACUUUAAUUUAUUUGCCAUAAUUGCCAGUUAAUAAGGGAAGAGCCAAAAAUAACUUUAUUUUUAAAAAUAAGACAACAAUAAGGAAGUGAUAACCAUGGUUAAAGUUGGAACAUAAUCACCAUCACUCACUCACUUACAUCUUCCUGCUCAUGAUUCAUGGUCAUUUUGUCAUCUGGCAGUGGAAACAUUGUUGGAUGCCAUUUGAAAUUUGAAAGCGCUCGUAGAGCUGGACGUUUAUGCACUUUAUGUGUGUUUUUAAAUGAGUAAAACUGAUUCCAGGGUUUGUAUGACUGCUUAUGAUAACGAUUUGAUACCGAAGGCUCCAAGGCAGUGUCUGUUGAAUGUCCCGCAAAGGGCUGCAAAAACCAAGGACAUGGUGGGGUUCAAUUCAGUUUACACUCAGGGGAUGGAGAUUUAGUUAGAAUCAGAAGUUACAAAUUACUCUAAUAUAAGAGAUCAGCCAUUUUACUCAAUAUUUAAAAGUGAGCAAAGCAAAAAACGUUCUAACCAUUCAGUCAGAUUUGAAGUAAAAGCCUAUUUUUGAGGGGGUUUAUGAAAUGUUGCCUGAGAUUUCUAAGAGGAAAAUUCUACAGCGAGACAUGUACCACAUAACAUGUGCUCUAAAUCUGAUUACUGGACUGAUAUGUAAAAGUCAGACUGCACUUCUGAAUCAGCUGCGUUUGAAAAUGAAUUCAACCCAACCCCGGUGACAGAAAGUCGGAGGAAGAGGGAAAGAGAAACGAGCGCGCACACCAGCUUCCGUUCUUCUUCCCUCGGUCUCUUUAUUAGCUAUAACUAUAUACUAUUUCUGAAACUAGAAUAAUAAAUGUAUUAUUGAGUAUAUUAUCAACCCAUUCACUAAAACAAAAGCACAUAAUGUCUGUAAAUGGUAAUCUUUGGGUUGUCUUUUCAUUCUGAGUGAUUAUCAUCUCUAGGUUACAUGAGAUUGUAACUCCUUGAAUAUUAUUAUCAUGUUGCUGGUGUUUCUAUGAUCGUAAUGGUUAUUGCAGGGUAUACAUUUUUUUGUAAUAUUUUUAUAUUCGUUUCGAUGACUUUUUAUUUUUCUUUCUCUUGCUUAUGUACACUAACAGUCAGUGGUGUCACGUGGAAAGCAUGUGAACAAAAGUGAGAGGCAACACCCUGCUUCACCCUCACAACGCUGGAACUGGAAGCUGGCCGAUAAAAGCCUCCCUGUUGGGUCAGUUUAGGAGUGGCUCCCCUGGGACAAUUGGGUGUUAUGUGCCUUGCUCAGGGGCACGUCAGUAUUUGAAAGAAAUGAACAAGAGUGUGUGCAGCUAGGGGGAGAAGUGGCUGCUGCAUACACGCCCAUCCUGUAUAAUAUAAAGGCAACUGCUGAUUGUUGGACUGACGAUGGCCAGCUGGCAGAUUUUACCACGUCGCCCGGCCCUGUUUCCUAAUGUUAGAUUUUUCUUUGGUGUUUUCUCUUUCUCUAAACUAUUUUACUCUCCUUCCAUUUUAUUCUUCUAUAACCCUGAUCCUCAUUUCUCUCCAUCAUCAUUUUGUCUUCAUUUCGUUGUAGGAAAUGAAUUGAUGUUUUACUUUCUAAACAUUACCAACGUAGCCUAAUAAUCAGUGUUUUUAAUGUUCUGACUAGUGUAUAACUGUAAGCGAUAGACUUUAUAUUAAUCUAUUUAUUUUGGUGGUGGUAUGUAUAGAUAUUCUUAAUGUUAUAUUGUUUCAGAGUUCCUACACCUGUAACUUUGGGCUAUAAAAGGCUUUAUGCCUGCCUGUGACAUAUGCUCAGUAGCCUAAGUGCUGGCAAAGUAAAUGUGGUCUGUGUUGGUGCUGUCUAUGGUUUUUACACAAUAAUCUUUGAGUACAACAAACUACAUCUUUGUUACAGAACUAAAUCGACUCUAGAGCACGUCCUAAUCUUGUAGUUUUGCUUUCUGCAAAAUGUUUAUGAAAACAUGCUCAAAAGCAGCGAUCUCGUUCUUUCGUUUUCAAUUCAUGUCCUGAUGUGAAAGCCAUUUUAAAGCCAGCGUGAGUCACCAGGUUCUUUUCCCAACACCUAGGCUGCUGACACAAGUCAAACAUGAAGCUCUUCAGAUGGAAAACUAGUAAAUUUCCACUCAGCAGACUGAUACACGGAAGGAACAAUAUGGAAAAGGGGAAGCAAUACAAUACAAUAUACUGAUCCUCAUUGGUAAAGACAA
ensembl:lncRNA